CGCACGGUUCCGCAUGGAACAGUGUGAAAAACUCCGGUGGUGUGAGAUGGACCCGCGUCUGAUUAGCCAGUUGGCGGGGUAACGGCCCACCAAAGCGACGAUCAGUAGCCGGCCUGAGAGGGUGAACGGCCACAUUGGGACUGAGACACGGCCCAAACUCCUACGGGAGGCAGCAGUGGGGGAAUAUUGGCACAAUGGGGGAAACCCUGGAUGCAGCGACGCCGGCGUGAGUGAAGAAGUAUUUCGGUAUGUAAAGCUCUUAUCAGCAGGGAAGAAAGUGACGGUACCUGAAUAAGAAGCCCCGGCUAACUACGUG
rnacentral:rRNA from 1 species